GUGCCAGCAGCCGCGGUAAUACAGAGGGUGCAAGCGUUGUUCGGAAUUAUUGGGCGUAAAGCGCGUGUAGGCGGCUUAGCAAGUCGGGCGUGAAAGCCCUCGGCUCAACCGAGGAAGUGCACCCGAAACUGCUGAGCUUGAGUGCCGGAGAGGAUGGCGGAAUUCCCCAAGUAGAGGUGAAAUUCGUAGAUAUGGGGAGGAACACCGGUGGCGAAGGCGGCCAUCUGGACGGUAACUGACGCUGAGACGCGAAAGCGUGGGUAGCAAACAGGAUUAGAAACCCCAGUAGUCC
rnacentral:rRNA from 1 species